UACACAACACACACUCAGGGAACAUUACAUAGCAGGUACACAACACACACACAAAAGCCUAACAACACACCAGCUAUGAUGGGCUACAAAAGGCACACAAACUCUCUCUUUCUCUCUCUGUGUGUGUCUGUGUGUCUGUGUGUCUGUGUGUCUGUGUGUCUGUGUGUCUGUGUGGAUGUAGGAGGAAGGGUGGCUACACGGCUACACGCUCCGAGCUUCAAAUGGACCAAAUCAAAGCAGGGAGAGACAGGUCUGGAAACAUGAAGAUAAGAAGAGAGGGGGCGGUAGUUCUUUCACUGCAUCUUACAGAGAGAGAGGAGGGGACAGACAGGUGUCGGGACACCACAUGACUUUGAGAAGGUUGUUGUAGAAAUGAAAACAAUAUUUGCUGUUUGGUCAUUUGAUAUGUCUUUGUUUACUGCCAAUAAUACUGUCCUCCUCUCUCUCCCUCUGCCUCUCUCCCUCUUUCUAAUAGUGUCUGUAUCUGGUUACCAUAGCAAUCUGUCAAUUACAGAGAUUCCAGGUAAUUCAGCCCUAAUACUGUCUGUUCAGGAGCGGCAGGGGAGAAGAGGAACUGGGAAAAUGUGAGGAGGGUAGAGGAGAGGGGGUCUCCAAUACCGCCAGUUAAAUCCAUUUAGCUCUGAUGAUGCCAUUUCUACCAUGCAGAGAGAGAGAAAAAGAGAGAUGGGGGGGGGGAGUGAGAUAGACUGCUAAAUGCAGCUAAACACCUCAUAAUGAAAUGUUCUUAACAGAAGUAAUAAGUCAAUAUAAAUCAUAGUCUGAGAUGUGUCAGGAAUCAUACUGACCUUUGUUUUUGUUUACAAGCAAACGUCACGUUCGAAUGAUGUGCGCAUGCUAGCAACAAAAAUCCCUGUAGCAGAUAGCUAUACACGGAUGUCGGGACAUUAGCAGAGUGAGUGAUGACCAUGAAAACACACCUGUCUGAUGGCUAUAGCUAUGUUCAACAAGUAUAUUAUUCUUCUGGCUUUAUCUAGCUCUCUUUGGGAUAUUUUACCUUGAUUCACGCUGGCUUGCUAGGUAAUCAAUCCUCCGAUGAUAUCUGCGAUGUUGUAGACGAUAACCAUCUGAUUACGUGUUUGCUAACUUGCAUGAGCUGCAUCUGAAGUCGGACGUGAUCGUAUUUACUUCCAUGUAAACUAAACAAACCGAUUUAUUGAUUCGGAACUGCGCAAGCAACUUUGCAUGACGCACCCGGAAAAUGGGUCUAUAGGCGUAGGCUAUAUGGUGCAUAUAUCAAUAGGGACAGGAGUUUUUCCUGACCACAAGGCAAGGUCAGCUUGUAACUAGAACCCUGAGUUGUUCCUGACCACAAUACAAGGUCAGCUUGUAACUAGAACCCUGAGUUGUUCCUGGGCAGGUCACAUGGUCAGCAAUACUUCAGGGCCCAAUAGACAUACAAUAUGUAAUUAAAUGAGUGCGGGGUGAAUGUAUGGGUAUGAAGGAGGAGAGAGGG